rnacentral:rRNA from 1 species
AUAAGCGUGUGUGAAGAAGCCUUCGGUUGAUAGCACUUUCAAUUGGAAGGAAAAACUCAUGGCCAAUACCCGUGAGCUUGACAUUACCUUUAGAAGAAGCACCGGCUAACUCCGUGCCAGCAGCCGCGGUAAUACGGAGGGUGCAAGCGUUAAUCGGAAUUAUGGGCGUAAAGCGUGCGUAGGCGGCUCGCUAAGUCAGCAUGUGAAAGCCCCGGGCUCAACCUGGGAACGGCACUUGAAACUGGCAAGCUAGAGUAUAGGAGAGGAGAGUGGAAUUUCAGGUGUAGCGGUGAAAUGCGUAGAGAUCUGAAGGAACACCAGUGGCGAAGGCGACUCUCUGGCCUAAAACUGACGCUGAGGUACGAAAGCGUGGGUAGCAAACAGGAUUAGAUACCCUGGUAGUCCACGCCGUAAACGAUGUCAACUAGCCGUUGGCUCUCUUAGAGAGUUAGUGGCGCAGCUAACGCAUUAAGUUGACCGCCUGGGGAGUACGGCCGCAAGGUUAAAACUCAAAUGAAUUGACUGGGGCCCGCACAAGCGGUGGAGCAUGUGGUUUAAUUCGAUGCUACACGAAGAACCUUACCUAUCCU